CAAGUGGUCAGUACAGAAACUCAACUUAAAUGAAGAGAGCAUCACCAUUACUCUGAAGAUACAUGCUUAAUUGUAAAAUAAAAUUACUCCUUCUAUAAAGAACCUGAAAUCAGGAACUGAUGAAGAGAAGACGUUCUUGCACAGCUCUCCCACCAUCCCUGAAGGACUGGUGGCUUCCAGCAGGUUGUUUUUGAAUCUCUGCUUACUGAGGAUGGGUCACACCUGCCACAGGUGCAAUCACUUCCAUCUCUGGAACCAACGUCCACCUGAGAAGACAGGAUGUCUGCAUGAGACUGCAAUGGCUGGAUGGUAUGCUCGAGACGGCACCAAUUGGAAGCCAUAAUUAGGACAGCCUUCACUGAGCAGGAUAAUGCCUACAUCAUACCCUUGUUGUGAAAACUAAAUGAAGAAAUGCACAGGGGGACCAGAGCCUGGCAGAUGAAAGGUAGACUCGGUUCAGAGUGGGCAUUUGGAAACCAUAUCGGUUUCUGUCCAGUUCUGUCCCUGGAUGUGGGAAGAAGAUGCUCUUAGGUCUUAACCAUCCUGAAUCUGAACUUGCGGACACCCUUUGGUGAGAAGCUGUCGCCACAAAGGACAGUCAUAGAAUCUGCCUUCAAUUACGAUUGGUUCUCUAGGGCCAUGACUGCAUCUGUACGUGAGUGCUUUGCACCCAUGUAGAUGUCACGGCCACCCCACAGCUACCCCAGCUGGUGGUGAGAUACACAGACAAAGAAGAACGUGCCCUGCACAACCUUCCCUCAUCUGAACCUUGUGUCUUCCGAGGUUUGUGUUAUCUUGAUAGAAAAAAAGAAGUUGUUCUCAAAUUAGAACCUAUAAGAAAAGAUAAUAAGGGAAAUGCAUUUGAGGAAGGGGAGAGCUGGGGAGGUGGAAGAGGGUUUAAAUCGCUGACUUAGUGAAAAGAGGAGAAAAAAGUAUCAUGGAGCCAGUGACAUUUUGGAACUUGCAGGCCUUUGAUUAAAAAAACAAACAAACA